AAACCACCCAGCCAGUGAAUAACAGAGGGCUGGGGAGGGGAGGGGGCUUACCAAGCGCUCUCUCCACUGCGGAAAGGACAUGAAAUAAUAAUAACUAGGGAACGGGAUCCAGCCCAUCAGCUCUCCCCAAGAAGGCCAGCACCUGCACGGGCUGCUCCUUGCACACGCCUGCCUCCUCGCAGCCAAGCCAAGGAAAUGAUGAGGAGGAGGAUUUCAGAAAGGCCUGGAUUUACAUGAAUUGAUGCUGAGUGAAGAGAGCAGAACCAAGAGAACGUUGUGCACACUAAGAUUACGUGAUGAUCGAUUGGGACGGACUCGGCUCUUCUCAACAAUGCAGUGAUUCAAGACAAUCCCAAUAAACUUGGGGUGGAAAGUACCAUCCCCAUCCAGAGAGAAACUGAAUGUGGAUCAAAGCAGAGCAUUUUCACCUCUUUGUUUCUUUCUUUCUCAUGCUUUUUCCCUUUUGAAUUAAUUUUUCUUACGCAAUACAACAAAUAUGGAAAUUUUUAAAAGAAUUGCACAUAUUUAACUUAUAUCAGAUUAUUUGUUAUUUGUUUUGAAGAGGGAGAACUAAGGGAGAGAGACAAAUUUAGAACACAAAAUUUUACAAAAAUGAG